UAUUACUGAGCCACCAGAUGAAAUCAAAAUAAACUUAUUGACAGAGAGACGCAAAAUGGACUGCUAUUAUUAUUGUUGAUAUAAUAUCGAUAUUCAAGCCCAUUCUUCUAAUAAUAAGAUAUGCGAUUCUUCAUAAUCGUAACAAUGUUUUGUCUGUAAUAGAAAUUAUUAGCAACCUUAGUUGUAGAGUUUUACUAAUUUGAUUGUAUUUUGAGAACUGUUCUAGAGUCCACAUGAACAGUUGAUGUACAUUGCUUAUGGUUGAAAUAAACUUUCAUUUGACCAAAAAGAUAUUAGAUAAAGAUGAAUGAAUAAAAAUACAAUUGAUGAUUUGUUAUGCCUAAAUAUAGAUGACACAUAUUAUUAUUCUCUUUCAGAUCCUUUCGAGUUUGUAGUUAAAAAUACAUAUAAUAUCGAUACAUUCUUAGCAACCAAUAUUAAUUUCUCAUUCAUUUCUACUCUUUUUUUAGGCCAUUCUAAGUUAAAAAUACAUAUAAUAUCGGUACAUUCUUAGCAACCAAUAUUAAUUUCUCAUUUAUUUCUACUCUUUUUUUAGGCCAUUCUAUUAUGAAUGAUGAUUAGAUUGUCACUUCAAUAACUUGAAGAAGAUUAAUUUGUUU
rnacentral:lncRNA from 1 species